rnacentral:rRNA from 1 species
AUUGAACGCUGGCGGCAGGCCUAACACAUGCAAGUCGAACGGUAACAGGAAGAAGCUUGCUUCUUUGCUGACGAGUGGCGGACGGGUGAGUAAUGUCUGGGAAACUGCCUGAUGGAGGGGGAUAACUACUGGAAACGGCUGGUAAUACCGCAUAAGACCACAGCACCGCAUGGUGCAGGGGUAAAAGAUUUAUCGGUGUGAGAUGGAUCCGCGUCUGAUUAGCCAGUCGGCGGGUAACGGCCCACCAAAGCGACGAUCAGUAGCCGGCCUGAGAGGGUGAACGGCCACAUUGGGACUGAGACACGGCCCAA